GCAAUAUUUAUUGUAUAUGCAUGUGAAGAAGAAGAAAAACUUGCCAUCUUGGGACAGAGAGGGCGCAAAGCAAACUAUAAAAGCAAUUACAAUUUACAGCAGGGUUCUGCAGUCCAAGUGGUUGCUCAUGGAAGAUAUCAUGUUUUCCAGCAUUAGGGCUUCCAAGCUAGUAUCUCAUCAUUCAACAUAUGUGGUGGUUUUGGCCAGUACAUCAUUGACAAAAGCAAGUCCCCUAGUCGUACUGUUACUUCUUUACUGGAUUUUUAUUUUCCUCUUUCAUGCUUUCAUAAAUUUCCUUAAUACACAUUAAAAUGGAGGCAUCAGAAGAAAUUUUUAAGUAGUAAUUAUCGAAUACAAAGUUACACUUCAUGGAAUAUGAGAACUCGGCAAACCAAUAUCGGUGCAGCCCCUCAUUUGUGAAA